GACUCCGGAGAGGGAGCCUGAGAAACGGCUACCACAUCCAAGGAAGGCAGCAGGCGCGCAAAUUACCCACUCUCGGCACGAGGAGGUAGUGACGAAAAAUAACGAGAUGGAUCUCUUUGAGGCCCAUUAUCGGAAUGAGAACAAUUCAAAUCCUUUAACGAGGAUCUAGCGGAGGGCAAGUCUGGUGCCAGCAGCCGCGGUAAUUCCAGCUCCGCAGGUGUAUAUCUAUGCUGCUGCGGUUAAAAAGCUCGUAGUUGGAUCUGCGUGCUCGGAACUGGUUGGCUCACUGAGUUCAAACUGGUCUCCGGCGCUUUAUUUGCUGGUUUUCCCUUGAUGCUCUUAACCGGGUGUCUCGGGUGGCUAGCGUGUUUACUUUGAAAAAAUUAGAGUGCUCAAUACAGGCGCAAAGCCUUGAAUAGUGGUGCAUGGAAUAAUAGAAUAGGACCUCGGCUCUAUUUUGUUGGUUUUCGGAACACGAGGUAAUGAUUAAGAGGGACAGACGGGGGCAUUCGUAUUGCGACGUUAGAGGUGAAAUUCUUGGAUCGUCGCAAGACGGACGACUGCGAAAGCAUUUGCCAAGAAUGUUUUCAUUAAUCAAGAACGAAAGUUAGAGGUUCGAAGGCGAUCAGAUACCGCCCUAGUUCUAACCGUAAACGAUGCCAACUAGCGAUUCGCAGGCGUUAAACAACGACCUUGCGGGCAGCUUCCCGGAAACGAAAGUGUUCCGGUUCCGGGGGAAGUAUGGUUGCAAAGCUGAAACUUAAAGGAAUUGACGGAAGGGCACCACCAGGAGUGGAGCCUGCGGCUUAAUUUGACCCAACACGGGAAAACUCACCCGGCCCGGACACCGUAAGGAUUGACAGAUUGAGAGCUCUUUCUUGAUUCGGUGGGUGGUGGUGCAUGGCCGUUCUUAGUUGGUGGAGCGAUUUGUCUGGUUUAUUCCGAUAACGAACGAGACUCUGGCCUACUAAAUAGUGGGCGGAUUCUUUCUGUCCGCAACACUUCUUAGAGGGACAAGCGGUGUUCAGCCGCACGAGAUUGAGCAAUAACAGGUCUGUGAUGCCCUUAGAUGUCCGGGGCUGCACGCGCGCUACACUGAAGGAAUCAGCGUGCUUUCUGACCUUGCCCGAAAGGGCUGGGUAACCCGAUGAAAAUCCUUCGUGAUUGGGAUAGGGACUUGCAAUUAUUUCCCUUGAACGAGGAAUUCCCAGUAAGUGUGGGUCAUAAGCUCGCGUUGAUUACGUCCCUGCCCUUUGUACACACCGCCCGUCGCUGCCCGGGACUGAGCCGUUUCGAGAAGAACAGGGACCGUCGUUGAAGGGCCCUAACGGGCUUUUCUCUGAUAGAAACUGUUUUAAUCGCAGUGGCUUGAACCGGGCAAAAGUCGUAACAAGGUU
rnacentral:rRNA from 1 species